UAAACGAAUUGUGGUUAAUCG
rnacentral:piRNA from 1 species